AAUUAUUAAAAAAAUAUAUAUAUAUGUUUUUUGAAAUAUGUGAUAUAAAUUUAACACGAAUGGAAAAUAACUAUUCCAUUAUCAUGAAUGGCUAUUUCAUUCCAUGAACCAAUCAAAUGCUAGUAAUACAUAACUCUCCUGUAUGAUACAUCAAAGUGGUCAUCUUCACUUAGGCAUGGGAUUGCACUCCUGGUUUUGUGUGUUUUUAUACAACUGAUAGCAAUGCAUCUUCUAUAUAAAAAUAUGUCUGGUAAUAUCUUUGAUGUUUGAUUUUGCUAUUUCAUUCCAUGAACCAAUCAAAUGCUAGUAAUACAUAACUCUCCUGUAUGAUACAUCAAAGUGGUCAUCUUCACUUAGGCAUGGGAUUGCACUCCUGGUUUUGUGUGUUUUUAUACAACUGAUAGCAAUGCAUCUUCUAUAUAAAAAUAUGUCUGGUAAUAUCUUUGAUGUUUGAUUUU
rnacentral:misc_RNA from 1 species